rnacentral:rRNA from 1 species
UGCUCAUUCAACAGCGUCGUUCUUGGAUCUCUUAUUUACUGGAUAACUGUGUAUUCUAGAGUUAUACACGCCCAAGCUCCGACCUUACGGACGAGCGCAUUUUUAGAACAAACCAAUGGGCUCCGGCCCGUUCGUUGUGACUCUGAAUACUACGCCGAUCGCACGGUCUCGAACCGGCGACGCAUUUUCAAGUGUCUGCCUUAUCAACUUUCGAUGGUAGUUUAUGUGCCUACCAUGGUUGUAACGGGUAACGGAGAAUAAGGGUUCGACUCCGGAGAGGGAGCCUGAGAAACGGCUACCACAUCCAAGGAAGGCAGCAGGCGCGCAAAUUACCCCUCUCGGCACGAGGAGGUAGUGACGAAAAAUAACGAGACGGAUCUCUUUGAGGCCCGUUAUCGGAAUGAGAACAAUUCAAAUCCUUUAACGAGGAUCUAGCGGAGGGCAAGUCUGGUGCCAGCAGCCGCGGUAAUUCCAGCUCCGCAGGUGUAUAUCUAUGCUGCUGCGGUUAAAAAGCUCGUAGUUGGAUCUGCGUGCUCGGAACCGGUUGGCUCACUGAGUCCAAACUGGUCUCCGGCGCUUUAUCGGCUGGUUUUCCCUUGAUGCUCUUAACCGGGUGUCUUGGGUGGCUAGCACGUUUACUUUGAAAAAAUUAGAGUGCUCAAUACAGGCGCAAAGCCUUGAAUAGUGGUGCAUGGAAUAAUGGAAUAGGACCUCGGUUCUAUUUUGUUGGUUUUCGGAACACGAGGUAAUGAUUAAGAGGGACAGACGGGGGCAUUCGUAUUGCGACGUUAGAGGUGAAAUUCUUGGAUCGUCGCAAGACGGACGACUGCGAAAGCAUUUGCCAA